GGUAGUCUAGUGGUUAGAGUGUAGAGGCAGCAGGUAGCCUAGUGGUUAGAGUGUAGAGGCAGCAGGUAGUCUAGUGGUUAGAGUGUAGAGGCAGCAGGUAGUCUAGUGGUUAGAGUGUAGAGGCAGCAGGUAGUCUAGUGGUUAGAGUGUAGAGGCAGCAGGUAGUCUAGUGGUUAGAGUGUAGAGGCAGCAGGUAGCCUAGUGGUUAGAGUGUAGAGGCAGCAGGUAGCCUAGUGGUUAGAGUGUAGAGGCGGCAGGUAGCCUAGUGGUUAGAGUGUAGAGGUGGCAGGGUAGUCUAGUGGUUAGAGUGUAGAGGCGGCAGGGUAGUCUAGUGGUUAGAGUGUAGAGGCAGCAGGUAGUCUAGUGGUUAGAGGCGAGCCAGCAACCGGUGGCCAGUUUGAAUCCCGGGUCUGAUAGGAAGAAUCUGUUAGGAAGUGUGGGGGGGGUUGUUGGUAUCAGGUCCUAGAUGCCAUUGCGCCCUUGACCAAUAAUGUGAUCUUAAUCUAAGUAGAAUUAGAAGGCUAUACUACAGUAUUUUUAUAUUACAGUAUUUUUUCUCAUCAACUAUAUCUACGUGCUGGAGAGCACACACACACACACACACACACACACACAAUUUACUAGAGCUGCAUUCUAGCAGAUGUGUGUUUUAGCUGUGCUGCUAAGGCCCGAGAUCAGAUGUCUUACAUUUUCUGGUCGCAGCUCACUGUGGGAAGAAUGAAAUAGUUGAUCCACUUCAGUCGCCAGAGUUUGAGCUGUGAGCCUUUAAGGCACUGUGUAUACGGAGGGAGAAUGUCAAUCUCUCCUGGCUCAAAGUUGAGGAGAGUUUGACUGCAUCACUAUUGGACUUUGUGCGAGGUGUUGAAGGUACAGAACUGACUGUUUAAGCAGUUGGCAAACAGUUCAGACACUCAUCGGUACAACACAAGACAUGCAACCAGAGAUCUCUUCACAGUUCAGACACUCAUCGGUUCAAC
ensembl:lncRNA